rnacentral:rRNA from 1 species
GUUUGAUCAUGGCUCAGAUUGAACGCUGGCGGCAUGCUUUACACAUGCAAGUCGAACGGCAGCGCGGGGGCAACCCUGGCGGCGAGUGGCGAACGGGUGAGUAAUGCAUCGGAACGUAUCCUGUAAUGGGGGAUAACGUAGCGAAAGUUACGCUAAUACCGCAUACGCUCGAGAGAGGAAAGUGGGGGAUCGCAAGACCUCACGUUAUAGGAGCGGCCGAUGUCCGAUUAGCUAGUUGGUGGGGUAAAGGCCUACCAAGGCGACGAUCGGUAGCUGGUCUGAGAGGAUGAUCAGCCACACUGGGACUGAGACACGGCCCAGACUCCUACGGGAGGCAGCAGUGGGGAAUUUUGGACAAUGGGCGAAAGCCUGAUCCAGCCAUGCCGCGUGCGGGAAGAAGGCCUUCGGGUUGUAAACCGCUUUAGUCCGGGAAAAAGGGGUGCGAGGAUAAUACCCUCGUGCUUUGAUGGUACUGGAAGAAUAAGCACCGGCUAACUACGUG